GUUUUUAAACAUUCCCAUAUAAUUUGACGAGAAUUUGUCUUCAUUUAUCACACAUAAAUGGUACCUCACACUGGCUCACAAUUUAACAUCUCCAUUUCAUUUUACAUUAAUUUUGCUCUUGCAUUUUUUACAGAAGAGUACGUCACAAUUAAAACAUUACUAUUUAAAUCGACAAGAAUUUGUCUUUGCAUUUAUUACACAUAUGUACGUCACAGUUAAUGCAUUUCCAUUUGAUUUUAUAUAAACAAGGAAAGAAAUUAAGGAGUUGCUUUUUAAAUUCACCAUCAGACUUCAUACAGCAUCAAAACGUUGUUGUAAACUAAGAUAUAAACUUUUACCAUUAGCAAAUUGUUUAAUAAAACUACUAUUUAAUCAUUUUGAAGUUUUUCUUCUGCAGUUUGAAAUAAUGUAAAUUCAGAAAUUAUUCUGUGCAUUUAUUAUCAUGACUUAGUGGAUUGGACAAAAAUGACAGAUUAACUAUUGUGAUUUCAGGAAAAUUUGCCUAAGAAUAUAUGUUUCCUCCAUUGAAUUUUUUUUGUUUUGCAUACUUCAUUCGCAUAG
rnacentral:lncRNA from 1 species